UUUUUUCUCUCUUUCUUCUCUCAUCUUCCUUGUCUCUCUUCUGCAAUUUCACCAUUAACACUCAUCUCUUUGUUGUUUUCAUCUCCUUAUUUCUCCAUCUGGAUGGAAAAGAAAAAAAUAUAGUUCUUGAUAGCUGAAAAUAAUUCUUUGAUUGGAAUUUAUUUUCUUGAAGAGACAUUAACUAGCACCUUUUUCUCCCUCAAACUGACAUUGAAAAAUUUUCUUCUUUGGUAGAAUAAGAUUUGAAUAACCAAAAGUCCGAACAACCAGCAAUGGUAUCAAUUACCGUCGAAGGAUUCAGCCCACAAAAAAAACAGGUGCUUCGAUAAACUAAAAAUGAAAUUAAUUUUAUUUUGUUCUUUCUUCUUACCAGUUCUUUCUUUGUGUCUAUUUCUUAUUUUUAUCCCUAAUAUUGUUGUGGAAGAAUGAUCCAGAAUCGUAGCAAUAGAAUUUUGAUUUGGUGAUGAUUUAGUUUUCUAGAUUUUAGUUUAAUCAUGAUUUUAAUUUUCAGAUAUUGGUUAGAUGCUAACUUUAAUUUUCAGAUUUUAAUUAGGUGGUGAAUUUAGAAUUUUAGGGUUAUGAUUUGGUGGUGAUUUAGUUUUUGAUUUCAAUUUAGUGGUGGUUUGAUGAUUUUAGUGGUGGAUAUGAUUGUUAUGGCAGUGAUAUUGGAGGCUAAAGUGGUGGCAAUGUUAACGGAGAAGAAGAAAGAAAGAAAAAAGAAUAAGGAAAAGAGAAACAAAAAGAAAGAAAAGAAAAACAAAAGAUAAAUGAAAUAAAUAAUGAAUAAAAAGAAAAUGAUAUGGCCUCAUGUGAUUGGUGCGUGUGUGUUAGUUUGUGUGAGUCCACCAAACAGUAGAGUAUCUGGUUCUCUACGAGAUUCUGCUGAGAAUGCGAAUAAAGCAGUACGUAAAUAAGACAGAUGAUUUUUAUGUGGAAACAUCUCACACAAGGGGAUCAAAAAACCACGACCUAUACUUGUAGGCUUUAAGCUUCACUAACUUGUAAAAACCUAUUACAAGCCACUUUGCAAUGACUCCAUUACAAAGAAUUUACUCAACUAACUUGUGGUACUCUUACCACAAGCCAUUUUGUGACUUCCUAGUUACAAAGGCUUUUACUAACUUGUGAUUCUCUCACCACAAGCUACUUUGUAACUCUACGAUUACAAAGAUUUUUGCUUAUGACAUACCUAGUCACAACAUAAACUCAAGGAGUUUAUGGAUUUACAAGAGGAUUCCUAAUNNNNNNNNNNNNNNNNNNNNNNNNNAAGCUAUCUUUUAGGAACUGGUCCGUAGUUGCGUUCAACUUUGUUCUUCAAGCUUGUGAGGAUUGACUUCUCUGUUUUUUGCAAGAAGCUUGAAUGAGAAACUGAAACCUUCAAGUGAUGUUUUGUAUAAACUCAUUGUAGGUACAUCUUGAUCACAUCACUUGAAAUGAUGUGAGCACUUUAGUUGGUCAGAGAAUGAGUGGGCGCUGGAGACAGUGCAGUGCGG
rnacentral:lncRNA from 1 species